rnacentral:miRNA from 1 species
CUACUAUGCCUUCACCCUUUUGCG